UGGCAGGGGUAAGAUCUCAGGGCACGAUUGGCAUAGAAACCUCCCAGAAGUUCAGCAGACUCUGAGAGAGGGCACUGGAUCUGUAGAAUGAAUGCAAGGCACCGGGAAUCUUAAGGGUUCAAGAGUUGCUCUGGAGACUCCCAAAAUUCACAGAGACCAGGCCAGCAUGUCAUCUGUGCCUCCUCAAAUCCACAUGGACCCGGGCCCUUGGUUUUUAGUACUGUAAUCUUAUUUACUUCUUUUGGGAAUGGAAAGCAAAAUUGCAUAAAAUUUUAUUUGGAAAAAGUUACUGCUAAAAUUUUUCUUCUGAAAAACAACUCCGUGUACUGAAAAUUACUUACAAGUGUAUGAACUAGGUCCUGCAGGGCUCUCGCGCGCUUUUCUGUGUGAGCUUGUGCCGCACAUCUAGCUGUGCGACAGGACACGUUGACCUGGACCCGCAGCCUGGGAGCUUUCUGAGGUAAGAGAAGAUGCUCCAGACCGUCUGCUGCUCACCUCCCAAACAAACAGAAACCCUACCCUUCCCUUUGUCUCACAAAACUGAGGCUUUCAGGCAGUGACGGACCCCUGUUGGGCCGGAGGAGCGCAUCCCUGACAGUAUCCCCACGGCAGACUGGGACUUGAAUGGGAGGCUGAUUCACCCAAAAAAGUGAGAACCCAAACCCAAAACCCUAGAGAAACAGAAGAUUGGCCCCACUGCUGCCUGCCCAGAUUUGGCUGCUUGAAAGAACGUUCUCGGAUGAGCAGCACCUGAAGCCACCCAGUGUGAAUGUCAGGGGGAGAACCAGUGUGGAGAAGCUCGAAAAUCCAGUCUGAAUAUCUGCUUCUUGCGGCUUUGAAGAGGGCAGAGUCUGCCCUCAAUCUGCAGAGCUUUUGCAGGCUCUCUGCUUCCUGUGCACCAUGAGGUGAGCAGCUCUCUUCCACCAGACCCUUGCACCACCGUUGCUUCUGCCAGGAGCCGGAGGGCUAGAA